rnacentral:rRNA from 1 species
AGAGUUUGAUCCUGGCUCAGAUUGAACGCUGGCGGCAGGCCUAACACAUGCAAGUCGAGCGGUAACAGAAAUUAGCUUGCUAAUUUGCUGACGAGCGGCGGACGGGUGAGUAAUGCCUGGGAAUAUGCCUUAGUGUGGGGGAUAACUAUUGGAAACGAUAGCUAAUACCACAUAACGUCUUCGGACCAAAGAGGGGGAUCUUCGGACCUCUCGCGCUAAGAUUAGCCCAGGUGAGAUUAGCUAGUUGGAGAGGUAAGAGCUCACCAAGGCGACGAUCUCUAGCUGGCCUGAGAGGAUGAUCAGCCACACUGGAACUGAGACACGGUCCAGACUCCUACGGGAGGCAGCAGUGGGGAAUAUUGCACAAUGGGCGAAAGCCUGAUGCAGCCAUGCCGCGUGUAUGAAGAAGGCCUUCGGGUUGUAAAGUACUUUCAGUAGGGAGGAAGGUGUUGUCGUUAAUAGCGGCAGCAUUUGACGUUACCUACAGAAGAAGCACCGGCUAACUCCGUGCCAGCAGCCGCGGUAAU